GUGUGGACUCAAGCCCUUGGCCCGGCUGCCGUGGGGUCCAGACCGGCCUCUGCGUGGUGGGGGGCCGCGAGGAGGGCCACCAGCCGUGCCGGGGGUGAGUUGAUGGUGCGCCUGGCUACGCACUGCCUGGUUCCUCCAUCAGCCCCGGGCGCGUCUGGAGCCUGUGCCCACCCGGUCCCUGCGUGUCUUAAUAAACGGCCACGACUUUCUGAAACCCCGGUGGUGUCUCCUCUCCAGCUGCCCCUCCUGGGGGUGGGGUGGGUGCGGGGCCGGGCGGCCCCCGGAGCCUUCGCGGGCUGGCUCUGGUCUCUGCAUUGCUCCCCUGUUCACAGCACAGAGGGACUGGGCCCUUUCCAUGUCACGGGCAUCUGCACGUCCUCACCCCUCGCCAGCUACACAGCUUGCCUGCCUCCAGCUGCAGCAUGGGCGAGGAGCUUCUGGAACAUGGGAGAAUAUUCUGGAACUGGCUUUUGAGUUCUACCUCAUUGACAGGGCUGUCUGAAUCUCAGGACAGAUGGCACGACAGAGCUGGCCCAGCGGCCCCACGCCCGGGCACCCUCCUUCCCUGUCACCGCUGACCUGCGAAGCCAGGGGCAUCUGGGGGGGGACCCGCCCCUCCCCCGCUCGUCCACGCAGCCCCCCGGCUCCCGUCUGCAGGCGUUUCCACUGGCCUGUUGUGAGGGUGCAGACCCUCUAGCCACGCUGUGGACGGGAUGCAGGGCUGGGCCCGGCCAGGCACGCCCUGAAAACACCAGCGCCACGCAGACCACGUGCUGCCGUGUUGGCCACGCUUCUCCCAACACAAAUGGCGUCUUCCGCCUGUUUGCGUGUUACUCUCCGGAGGGAGAGUGUCCUGGACCCGAUGCAGCCUCGGUGGCCUGGCUGGACGCCGCCCACCCCUCGGCCCUGCGCCCCAGGCCGUUGUGCACGUCAGUCUCCGAGUGGAAUCUUUUCUGUUUGGAAAUCUGACAAAUGUCGUGGAAUCAGAAGGCGGAUGGAUGUUAGUUCCUAAAGUUUUUGUUUCGCAGUGUCCGCCUCGCUUCUGUUCGAAUCUUAUAAUUAAACACAGCUUUUUCUAUGGA